rnacentral:rRNA from 1 species
GUUGACGCUGACAGAAUGCUUAACACAUGCAAGUCAACCGGUGGCUGACGGGCGAGCAAUGUCCGGGAAACUGCCUGAUGGAGGGGGAUAACCACUGGAAACGGUAGUUAAUACCGCAUACCAUCGGAUGUGCCUAGAUGGGAUUAGCUUGUAGGUGGGGGAAAGGCUCACCAAGGCGACGAUCCCUAGCUGGUCUGAGAGGAUGACCAGCCACACUGGAACUGAGACACGGUCCAGACUCCUACGGGAGGCAGCAGUGGGGAAUAUUGCACAAUGGGCGCAAGCCUGAUGCAGCCAUGCCGCGUGUAUGAAGAAGGCCUUCGGGUUGUAAAGUACUUUCAGCGGGGAGGCGUUACCCGCAGAAGAAGCACCGGCUAACUCCGUGCCAGCAGCCGCGGUAAUUC